rnacentral:rRNA from 1 species
AGAGUUUGAUCCUGGCUCAGAACGAACGCUGGCGGCAUGCCUAACACAUGCAAGUCGAACGUGAUCCGGAGCUUGCUCCGGUGAAAGUGGCGGACGGGUGAGUAACGCGUGGGAACCUGCCCAGUGGUCGGGGAUAACUGCGGGAAACUGCAGCUAAUACCCGGUAAGCCCUACGGGGGAAAGAUUUAUCGCCAUUGGAGGGGCCCGCGUCGGAUUAGGUAGUUGGUGGGGUAAAGGCCUACCAAGCCUUCGAUCCGUAGCUGGUCUGAGAGGAUGAUCAGCCACACUGGGACUGAGAUACGGCCCAGACUCCUACGGGAGGCAGCAGUGGGGAAUAUUGGACAAUGGGCGCAAGCCUGAUCCAGCAAUGCCGCGUGAGUGAAGAAGGCCUUAGGGUUGUAAAGCUCUUUCGGCGGGGACGAUGAUGACGGUACCCGCAGAAGAAGCCCCGGCUAACUCCGUGCCAGCAGCCGCGGUA